rnacentral:rRNA from 1 species
UAGGGAAGUCUUUCCACAAUGGACGAAAGUCUGAUGGAGCAACGCCGCGUGAGUGAAGAAGGGUUUCGGCUCGUAAAACUCUGUUGUUAAAGAAGAACAUAUCUGAGAGUAACUGUUCAGGUAUUGACGGUAUUUAACCUGAAAGCCACGGCUAACUACGUGCCAG